rnacentral:ncRNA from 1 species
UGGCUGAUCCUAAAGUUGUUGAUGCACAAGCAGGACUUGAAACGGCUUUGAGUGGACUUCUUGCAGCGAUUGGCGGUGUGAAUAUUAUU